GGGUUAGAUUAUACUAACCCAAAUGCACCAGAUCCCAUCAAAACCCCGUAGUUAAGCGUGCUUGGGUGAGAGCAGUACUACGAUGGGUGAUCUCCUGGGAAGCCCUCGUGUUGCACCGC
rnacentral:rRNA from 1 species